CUCCCGGCCGGGGGGCCGCAGCUCCCCCGCCCUGCUGCAGGCCGACCUGCUAGACCUGGAUGGGGACGAGGACGACCUGGAGGUGUUCAGCAAGGAUGCCUCACUAAUGGACAUGAACUCCUUCAGCCCUGCGAUGCCGACAUUUCCUCUGUCUAUGAUAAACCAAGUCAAGUUUGAAGAUGAGCCAGACUUAAAGGAUCUCUUCAUCACCGUUGAUGAACCUGAAAGUCAUGUGACUACAGUAGAGACCUUCAUCACUUACAGGAUCAUCACGAAAACAUCUCGUGGGGAAUUUGACUCCAGUGAAUUUGAAGUUAGGAGACGUUAUCAAGAUUUCCUCUGGUUGAAGGGAAGACUGGAAGAAGCUCGCCCAACUCUGAUUAUCCCAGAACUCUCUUCUCAUAAGAAGCAAGGGCCUGGACUACUGAGCAGAUGGGCCAGACAGUCAGAGCAGUGGCAUCCUCCAUGAGAGGAGUUAAAAACCGCCAGGAGGAGUUCAUGGAGAUGAAUGACUUUAUCGAAAUAUUUAGCCAGAAAAUAAACUUGAUAAAUAAAAUAUCUCAGAGAAUUUACAAGGAAGAAAGGGAAUAUUUUGAUGAAAUGAAAGAAUAUGGCCCAAUUCAUAUUCUGUGGUCGGCGUCUGAAGAGGAUCUGGCUGAUGCUCUGAAAGGUGUUGUCAGCUGCAUUGACAAGUGCUGUAAGGCCACAGAGAAGCGGAUGUCUGGACUCUCAGAGGCCCUGCUUCCUGUCGUGCAUGAGUAUGUGCUGUACAGUGAGAUGCUGAUGGGAUUUAUGAAAAGAAGAGACCAAAUACAGGCAGAACUGGAUUCCAAAGUUGAAGCUUUGACCUAUAAAAAGGCAGAUACUGAUCUGCUUACGGAAGAGACUGGGAAGCUGGAAGAUAAAGUGGAAUGUGCCAAUAAUGCCCUGAAGGCUGACUGGGAAAGAUAGAUUCAGAGCAUGCAAAAUGAUCUCAAGUCAGCAUUCGUGGACAUGGCUGAGGAGAACAUCUACUAUUAUGAACAGGGCCUUGCCAUGUGGGAGUCAUUCCUUACCUCUCAGACUGACCUUCACUUGGAAGAAGCUUCUGAAGACAAAUCUUAAUCCCACCGAGGACUUUUGUCUGCCCUUUGGAAGACAGCCUCUAUCAACCAAAGCUAUUAUUUGUGAAUCUGCCAUGUCCUUUGUAAAGUGGAUGAAAAAUGUUUUGUACAAUCUGGAAAACCAACAACUUGAAAACUCAGGAAUUCCAGGUCAUUGACAU